rnacentral:lncRNA from 1 species
AAGGAACAUCUGAAGGAACACCUGACAAGGCUGUACCCUUGGCGGAAAGAACACCUGACAUGGCUGAAAGCUUGGUGGAAAAACCACCUGAUGAGGCUGCACCCUUGGUGGAGGGAACAGCUGACAAAAUUCAAUGUUUGGGGAAAGCAACAUCUGGAAAGUUUGAACAGUCAGCAGAAGAAACACCUAAGAAAAUUAUGAGGACUGCAAAAGAAACAUCUGAGAAAUUUGCAUGGCCAGCAAAAGAAAGACCUAGGAAGAUCACAUGGGAGGAAAAAGAAACAUCUGUAAAGACUGAAUGCGUGGCAGGAGUAACACCUAAUAAAACUGAAGUUUUGGAAAAAGGAACAUCUAAGAUGCUCACAUGUCCUACAAAAGAAACAUCUACAAAAGCAAGUACAAAUGUGGAUGUGAGUUCUGUAGAGUCUAUAUUCAGGUUCAGCUUUUCAACAUUUCAAAUAUUUCAGGGCACUCUCUGCAGUGUUUUAGAGUGA